rnacentral:rRNA from 1 species
GAUGAACGCUGGCGGCGUGCCUAAUACAUGCAAGUCGAACGCAGUGGGGACGGGUGAGUAACACGUGGGUAACCUCCCAUCAGAGGGGAUAACACCUGGAAACAGGUGCUAAACCCAUACUGAUGGAUGUACUUGCGGUGCAGUUGCUAGUUGGUGAGGUAACGGCGCACCAAGGCCACGAUGCAUAGGCGACCUGAGAGGGUGAUCGGCCACACUGGAACUGAGACACGGCCCAGACUCCUACGGGAGGCAGCAGUUGGGAAUCUUCGGCAAUGGACGAAAGUCUGACCGAGCAACGCCGCGUGAGUGAAGAAGGUUUUCGGAUCGUAAAACUCUGUUGUUAGAGAAGCGGUAUCUAACCAGUAAGCCACGGCUAACUACGUGCCAGCAGCCGCGGUAAUUC